AUGGGACUCCUCUUCAGCUGCGUUGAAUCGGCAGAGCUCCUCGAUGUGGCAAGGUGCUCCUGCUCAGCCCCCGAGGGAAGAUGCUCCUUCCUCAAACUGGUGGACGAGGAUGCAGUUGGGGUCAAUACAAGCAACUUCAGAGGAAGUCACUGCUUGAUUAUAAGACUACGGCUUUGGACUGCAGAGGACAGAGUGUGCGAGGAAAACGAGCACUUCUGGGCCAUCCACAAGCAGCGGACACCCUCUGAAUAUCAUAUGGGAGAGCCUGGGAGCGUGGGUCCAAACCUCCCCGGAGCACGAAGGGGCCGAGAAGAGGACGGAUCGACCAGCAUGCUGCCUGUGCGGCACUACCAGUUCUCCCCUGCAUUUAAUGUAUGGAAAAGCAUGACCCUGAAUCAGAUGAACAGCAGCCGGUUUGAGAAGGGGGGGAAAAUUAGCAGGAGGAGAUCAGAGGAAGAUAAGCGAGGAGCGAGCCGCUUCCCCGAGACCUUCCACUGCGGAUCCGCGAGGGAACAUCAGACGCGUUAAAAAAACCAAAACAAACCCAAACACGGCGUUCAAGCCAGCACAAGGCGAGCGAAAGAUCAAAAAGACGCGGAGAGAGAGAAAGAGGCAGAGAGGGAGACAGAUUAACUGGAGCGGCAGCGGCAGCAACAACAACAACAAAAAUCACACUUAAAAUCAUAAUAACAAUAACAACAAUAAUAAACCCCAAACCACCGGCA
ensembl:lncRNA